AUUGAACGCUGGCGGCAGGCCUAACACAUGCAAGUCGAGCGGAUGAAGGGAGCUUGCUCCUGGAUUCAGCGGCGGACGGGUGAGUAAUGCCUAGGAAUCUGCCUGGUAGUGGGGGAUAACGUCCGGAAACGGGCGCUAAUACCGCAUACGUCCUGAGGGAGAAAGUGGGGGAUCUUCGGACCUCACGCUAUCAGAUGAGCCUAGGUCGGAUUAGCUAGUUGGUGGGGUAAAGGCCUACCAAGGCGACGAUCCGUAACUGGUCUGAGAGGAUGAUCAGUCACACUGGAACUGAGACACGGUCCAGACUCCGACGGGCGGCAGCAGUGGGGAAUAUUGGACAAUGGGCGAAAGCCUGAUCCAGCCAUGCCGCGUGUGUGAAGAAGGUCUUCGGAUUGUAAAGCACUUUAAGUUGGGAGGAAGGGCAGUAAGUUAAUACCUUGCUGUUUUGACGUUACCAACAGAAUAAGCACCGGCUAACUUCGU
rnacentral:rRNA from 1 species